rnacentral:rRNA from 1 species
UGGGGAAUUUUGGAUAAUGGGCGAAAGCCUGAUCCAGCAAUGCCGCGUGAGUGAAGAAGGCCUUCGGGUUGUAAAGCUCUUUUGUCAGGGAAGAAACGGUGAGAGCUAAUAUCUCUUGCUAAUGACGGUACCUGAAGAAUAAGCACCGGCUAACUACGUGCCAGCAGCCGCGGUAAUACGUAGGGUGCAAGCGUUAAUCGGAAUUACUGGGCGUAAAGCGUGCGCAGGCGUUUUGUAAGUCUGAUGUGAAAUCCCCGGGCUCAACCUGGGAAUUGCAUUGGAGACUGCAAGGCUAGAAUCUGGCAGAGGGGGGUAGAAUCCUCACGUGUAGCAGUGAAAUGCGUAGAUAUGUGGAGGAACACCGAUGGCGAAGGCAGCCCCCCUGGGUCAAGA